rnacentral:RNase_P_RNA from 1 species
GAAGUUGGCCGGACAGUCGCCGCCUGCGCAAGCGGGGGGAGGAAAGUCCGGGCUUCAUAGGGCAGGAUGCUGGCUAACGGCCAGGCGUCGCGAGGCGACGGAAAGUGGAACAGAGAGCUGAACCGCCGAACUGCGGGCAACCGUGGUGGCAAGGGUGAAAAGGCGUGCGCUUUGCAAUAGGCGUGGUGGGUCGCAAGACCUUCGUGUAAGAGACCACCGCUCGACUGGUAACAGGACGAGGCAGGCUAAACCCCAUCCGAAGCAAGACCAAAUAGGCAAGCGUUGACGGGGCCCCCUGAGCUUGCGGGUAGGUUGCUUGAGGCGGCCAGUAAUGGCCGUCCUAGAGGAAUGACUGUCGGUGGCGGGAAACCGCCAUGUCACAGGACCCGGCUUAUAGGCCAACUUCGCAC